GACGAACGCUGGCGGCGUGCUUAACACAUGCAAGUCGAACGAUGAAGCUAGAGCUUGCUCUGGUGAAUUAGUGGCGAACGGGUGAGUAACACGUGAGUAACCUGCCCCGAACUCUGGGAUAACUGCUGGAAACGGUAGCUAAUACUGGAUACGACCUACGAAGGCAUCUUCUGUAGGUGGAAAGAAUUUCGGUUCGGGAUGGACUCGCGGCCUAUCAGCCUGUUGGUGAGGUAAUGGCUCACCAAGGCGACGACGGGUAGCCGGCCUGAGAGGGUGGCAGGCCACACUGGGACUGAGACACGGCCCAGACUCCUACGGGAGGCAGCAGUGGGGAAUAUUGCACAAUGGGCGCAAGCCUGAUGCAGCAACGCCGCGUGAGGGAUGACGGCCUUCGGGUUGUAAACCUCUUUUAGUAGGGAAGAAGCGAAAGUGACGGUACCUGCAGAAAAAGCACCGGCUAACUACGUGCCAGCCGCCGCGGUAA
rnacentral:rRNA from 1 species